CACGCAUGCACUUUUCAGUCGGCGGUAUGAAAACAAAAACCCAAAUAGAAUUAAUGAAAUAUUGAUCACGCAUGUACCAAGACCACUAGAUCUCUAUAAAUCCAGGGAAAUCUGGAUAGAAUUCAUUUGUGUUCCUCGAGCAUACGUCAGGCAAGAUCAUCUUUGUUUAACUCUGGUAGACAUCGUAAGAAUACAACAGAAGCAAGAAUAUCACAGCAACAUGGCGUCAAAGAUAGCAACUCUAUUUCUGCUGGUCGCUUUCAUGAUGGUAGCAAGAGCGUUCGAUGAUGACGUUCAGUCCGACGAUUUUGGGGAAUAUCGCAGCUUGGCCGAGGAAGGUGAAUUGGAAGGACUAGAGAGCGCCGACUCGGAUG